rnacentral:rRNA from 1 species
CCUACGGGAGGCAGCAGUGGGGAAUAUUGCACAAUGGGCGGAAGCCUGAUGCAGCAACGCCGCGUGCGGGAUGACGGCCUUCGGGUUGUAAACCGCUUUCGCCUGUGACGAAGCGUGAGUGACGGUAAUGGGUAAAGAAGCACCGGCUAACUACGUGCCAGCAGCCGCGGUGAUACGUAGGGUGCGAGCGUUGUCCGGAUUUAUUGGGCGUAAAGGGCUCGUAGGUGGUUGAUCGCGUCGGAAGUGUAAUCUUGGGGCUUAACCCUGAGCGUGCUUUCGAUACGGGUUGACUUGAGGAAGGUAGGGGAGAAUGGAAUUCCUGGUGGAGCGGUGGAAUGCGCAGAUAUCAGGAGGAACACCAGUGGCGAAGGCGGUUCUCUGGGCCUUUCCUGACGCUGAGGAGCGAAAGCGUGGGGAGCGAACAGGCUUAGAUACCCCAGUAGUC